AGAGCAUGUGAGAUACAGGACUACAGGACAGGAAAAAAAGGACUCUGCUAAGGCCAUGAAGCCCAGGAACUUUCUCCACAUUCUCUAAUCUUUACACAGUCCUAAAGGGUGAGUAGCAUUAAUCCCAUUUGUGUAGAUGAGAAAGUGGGUUCAGAAAGUUUUACUGCUCUAGUGUCACAGACUUAGCAAUGAUAAAGUCCAGGAUUUGUAUCUAGAUUUACUUACCUUCAAUACCAUGAUGGCAAUAAUGGCCAUUUACUGAGCAUCGAACAUGUCCCACAUACUCUAAGGACUUCAUGUCUAUUUCUCUCAUUAUUCUUUGUAAUUCUAUCAUCAUACCAAUUUUAAGGUUAAAAAAAAACAUCCUUAGUGAGGUUUUAUUACUUGUUCAUGUCUAUCUGGGAUGAGACUUUAUAUGAUAAAGAAAAAGCGCAAAGCAAAUGAGAGCUAAAUGUUCCUCUUGCCCAUGCCACAGGUGUUCCAAUAGCACAAUCUUCAAUUACUAGCUUUGAUCUUGAAGAAUUUCAUAAUAAGAACCUAAUAAUUAGGAUGCAAUUGAGGUGCAAUUCUAAGCACUUUCAGAUCAUCAGCAAUCCUUCUGCCAACAAAAGAUUGUGGUGUGGGGCUAACGGACACUUUACAGUUAUCAAAGGAUCACACCCAAGACAGACGGAUUUUUCUAAUUGUAAUUGUCCCUCUUGUCACACCUCACUCACCCAGCUUCAAGGAGUGAAUGCAUGAAAGCUGCUGAGAAGGUGAAUAAUUAUUCCAGGGGACAUGUAUGCAGUUUCAGUACGUUUGAGUUCAGCUCACAUUUAUUGAGAGUGAAUCACCGAAUUACUGGACCAUAGGCAUUGUGUCUGAAUGUUUCCAAAAAUAAUUAUUUAGUAUUCACAAUUAUUUAUGGUAGGUAUUAUUGUUCCCCUCUUUUCUGAUAAGAAAACCUAUCCCAGUGAGGUAUAGGCCAUAAAAAGAUCAAGCAGCAGAAGAAUUUGAACUUAGGCUCUGAUUCUUUUAUUUAUUUAUUUAUUUUGAGCUGGAGUCUCACUCUGUCACCCAGGCUGGAGUGCAGUGGCGUGAUCUCAGCUCACUGCAACCUCUGCCUCCUGGGUUCAAGCAAUUCUCCUGCCUCAGCCUCCCAAGUAGCUGGGAUUUCAGGCUCCCACCACCAUGCCCAGCUAAUUUUUGUAUUUUUAGUAGAGGCAGGGUUUCACCAUGUUGGCCAGGCUGGUCUUGAACUCCUGACCUCAGGUGAUCCGCCUGCCUUAGCCUCCCAAAGUGCUGGGAUUACAGGUGUGAGCCACCACACCCGGUCUAGGCUCUGAUUCUACACCGUAUGUGAUAUGGUUUGGCUGUGUCCUUGCCCAAAUCUCAUCUUGAAUUGUAGAUCUCAUAAUUCCCAUGUGCUGUGGGAGGGACCCAGUGGGAGAUAAUUGCAUCAUGGGAGCGGUUUCUCCCAUAUCGUUCUCAUGGGAGUGAAUGAGUCUCAUGAGAGCUGAUGGUUUUAUAGGGGGAAACCCCUUUCGCUUGGCUCUGAUUCUGUCUUGCCUGCUGCCAUUUAAGAUGUGCUUUUCGACUUCCACCAUGAUUGUGAGGCCUCCCCAGCCACAUGGAACUGUGAGUCCAUUAAACCUCUUUUUCUUUAAAAUUUAUCUGGGUAUGCCUUUAUUAGCAGUGUGAAAGUGGACUAAUACAGUAUGCCUUUAUGACAACACCACCAUACAAACUCAUGCCUUUCUAAUUCUCAUACUUCGGUUAUGACAUGGUUUACUGAGUGUCUGGUUGUGCCCAGGCCUGUGCCCAAUCAACCCGUCUAUACCUUAGGAAGCUGGAGUCCUUAUACACAUAGAAUAAUUUGGUUUGCCUCACGUCCUACAUGAACUGGAAGAAAAAUAGCCUUUUUAAGCCCGUAUUUCAGUUUUCAGUUUUCAUGGCACUCUGAUGGGGAAUGAAGGGGAUGAAAAGGGGCACACCGACCUGCUUCCCAGGCUUCCAGCUGUGUCCAUGAGGUAGUGGGCUGAAAGGAAAUCCACGGCGCUAUUAUGGUAUAAUUUUAACAAGAAAAACACCUUUUUAAAGUUCAUCUGUGCUGCCUUUAUACAGAAAGCAGCGCUGAGGUUCCUGGAACCCCAUUUGUGAUAGGAGCCAUUUGGGAUCGCUUCAUUGCAGGCAUUCAUCUUUCCUCUAGUGUAUUUUUAUCUUCUCUCAGGAUUGUCCACAGAACUUGGACUGCAGAUUCGUUAGGCAGGGACUGGGGCUGCUUUAAGUCAACAUAAAAUUCUGUCAUAUUGUCAGUGCUCAUUACGUCUUCUAUAACAUAUUGUACUUAGGGUCUUUUGGUUUUCAAAUAUACUACCAUGCUAUUUUUCAGCAGGCAAGCCUGGGCAGAUAUUUUCUCCAUUGGUCUACAGAUAAUGCUAUUUUCCAUUUUCUGCCUUGGAAAACGUUGACUCUCCAAUAACCAACAUUUGUGAACUAAUUGAUUACAAAUGUCUAUGAGGUCAAUGUUUUCCCGAUUCAAAGAGCUAUCAGCAUUUUAUUUGAUAUAACUUCCAAAAGAGAAUCAUUUUAGGAGUACCUGUACUUACUACAUUGUAUGAGAAUUGUCUGUCACACACCCUGAUUUCCAUGAGCAUGAGACCAGAGAGGUACUUUUCCCCUACAGUGGUUACAGGAGGUUGUACCAUAUGAAAAUGUUUUAAACCAUCUAAUGUCAACAAUUUCGAACAUAAUGAUCGAACAAUUACGGUUCGAUCUAAUACCACAUGUGGAACAUAGCAAGUAACAAAUAAAUAUUUGUUGAUUGGAUGAAUAGAUGGAAUAUAGAUGUCUAGGUAUGCAUUUAGCCAACUAAAACUUAAAAUGGGAGGUGAAACUAUUUACCCAGCAGCAGAAAAUCACUCUCUUCAUAUCGGCAGCAAGUGGGCUCUUGUCUUUGGAGACAAAAACAAAUCAAUGUAUUUUUGCUGCUUCAAUUCAUUCACUUGUUCAUUCAUUGACCCUUUCAGUAAUUAUUUAGCAUCUUAUGUGACGGCACCAUGCCAGCUGAGAAAAUGCAGAGAGCCCACUGUCAAAUGUUGGAGAUGGGGCAGUCACCAGUGUUGGCAGCACACAGAGGAAGUACAUGCCAUGGUAGAAUUAGGUCCAGGAACCAUGAGAAUCUAGAGGACAGGCUCCCAAAACCGGCCGGCUGGUGUGGAGGUGACACAUAAGCUGAGUUCUGAGAUAUCAGUUAGGAGGUAUCUGCCAAGGAAGUUAGGGAAAAUAGAAAUCCUCCAGAAAGAAGAAACCACUUCUUCAAACACCUAGAGGUGCCACUUCCUGGUGAUAGGAAGGUGAGCCCAGACUGAAGAAGGAGGCAGGAGCCAGGCCAGGAAACUCUUUUAAGGAGUUUGUAUUUUAUCUUGAGGGAAAUGGGGAGGCAGUAAAAGGUAUUAAACAAGGCAGUGACCUAUUCAGCUUUAUGUAUUAGUACAGAUCAUCUGAAAAAUGAUUUGAGGAUGUUUUUCAACUAAAAAGUGAACUAAUGGGAGUUUUUGCUGGUAUGGAAUCAAAUUUGUAGCUGAUUUUGAGGCUGUUGCAAUUAGGAUGGCGAAUGGUGAAAAACAGUGUGGUUGAAUUGAACAUAAGCUGAAGGGCUAGACAUCAUGGCUUCAAUCCUUGUGGAGGUAAGAGAGCUGGGACAUCAGACAUCAGCAGGUGGCCUUGGCUCCUUUUCCUUCAUUUAUAAUUUUACUAAAAUCCUUUCAGAAUAAGGGCUGAUCACCACUGGGAAAUUUAAGGCAUAAUCUGCCUUUACUCUAUCCUCCCAUUUUGGGUGGCUAAUCCAGCCACUGUAAUGUAAAGAAGGACCUUGUGGUUCAUAGCUUUUGGUUUCUGGCAUCUAUGUAUGUUUAAUAUUCCACCUUUCUGAACUUAUCUUUACUAUCAAUCAAUGAUCUGCUAGGGGACAGAGAUUUACUCAUGGUUCUUGCAUAGCACGUUGUUUCCUGAUAGGUGUUCAGAAAAGAAAUUUUUUUUAAACUAUUCCAGUUUAAUUGACUGAGAGACUCAAGGUCACAAGCCCAAAUAUUAUUCAAUAACCACAUACCACAUCCUUGCUGAUUUCCAUGACAUAAAACUACAACGUAUAGACAUUGGCUGCCACAGGAGAACAUGAUUUACUGAACCUUCCAAUCUGCUGUGAAAGGGAACCUGAAAUUUGCUGUAAAUUACAAGCCCAAGGAUCAGAACAUAUUCAUCCAUUUCCCUAUGAAUUAGGGGAGACUUGGUGAAGAUAUUUGGCCACACUGGAAAGGGAAAUCUUCCCCUUUCUUGAGGUUUUAUGCUAUGUACUUACUUAUGCCAAUGUCUCAAACACCAUAUGUAGAUACGUGUAGAUGAGAGGGAGUUUAAAAUAAGGAAGAAUGUAGCAGAUUUCAAACAGUUUUUUUCUAUGCCAUUACAUAUACUAUAGUAUUAAAACAUAACAAAAAGGAAAAUAAAAAAAUCUGUUCUAACAAUCUGUUUCAAGAAUCUUGAAAGAUAUACAAAACAAAUCACUCCAGAUGAGACGUAUAUUUCAGUUCCCACCACCUCAACCCAAUAACGACAAUCCCAAGGGCCCAUGAAUGAAGAAGCCAGAAGAGGUCAGCUCAUACAUCCCCUUCCUUUAGACAGGACUGUAAUGAAAUCAUCGUUGACCAAGGCUGUCAAUGGUUCUGGGUGACCAGAGCACAGCAAUCAUUUCCAUUAUUUUCCAUAGAAUGACUUGUGAAUUGCCACCUCCUGCAAAUCCUGUGGCCUAUGAUCUGGACCAAAUCACAUCCAAGUGUCUGAUCAGUUCUGAGAGUGGUUGUGGAUGACCUUAGUAUUCCAGAAGACUGGCUCUGAACGCACACUAGUGCAUCCACAAUGGGACAUCCAUGUGUAAAAAGGAGUGAGGAGCUGGGAUUCUUCAGUGGCCUCCAGCUUUCAUUCCAUACAGGAAUGGGCUCGUUCAUAUGCCUCUGAGAGAGUCAGCUUGGAGACAGGCAAGUCUGGGUUCAAAUCCUGGGUCCAUCCCUAGAUGGUUGAGUGUGGUUCCUUUAUCCUUUAUAACAGGGCCAAUACAUACUUCACUUGGCCUUUGUGAGGACUGGGGGACUGUCCACCUAAGGCAAAAUAAAGACAUCAUUUAUUCACAGUCUUCCUUAGUGAUGCACACAUGUGGCCUGAGAACUAACAUUGAUCUUAGCCUUAGGAUCCCUUCGUUCUACCACUGACAUUAACCCCCAUGUGAUCUUGUGCAUGUCAGUUUCCCUCUCUGAGUUUGAUUGACCCUUUAGUGAGAUUAAUCAAAAUUGAUCUCCAAGUCACUUUCAGCUUUAAAAAAUGCAAAGCUCUACAAAUCAUUCUGAUAUUGGCCCCAAAACCACCUCUUGGCACCUCCUUUGCUUCUCUGCAGUUUUAGGAUCCCCUUGUCUGAUUUCUUAUUCAACUCUGUAAGAUCAUAUCACCAGUCUAGCAACAUCCUGUCCCAUGCCAUUUUAUAAUUUCCUGUUUAAUUGCCUGUUUUGUACCCCUAGACUGUGAAUUACCUGAUGGCAGCAACUGUGUUUCAUUUGCCAUAGUGUUCCAAGUGUUUUGUCAAGGGCUUAAAACAUAGUCAUUGUUCAUUAAAUGCUUUUGUGGAUUAGGAUUAUUAAUUUAUUUACCACAACAUUAUUGAACAUACCUGUUGGCAACUAUAUUCUCUCUUCUAUGGGCAUUGAAAAUAGAGGAUUUCUUAAGUAUUUCUAAUGAUAUGAUUUCAGGUAAAGGCAUCUUUCCCAGGAAACUUCAACCUUCAAUUUCAGUGCAGCUGGCAAAGACAUGUUCAUUCCACCUAUGUAUAAAGACAAGAAAGAUUUUAGCACCCUUGUAAGGGUAGAUUUUCUAAUUUGAAAUUUAUUCAUUUGUUAAACUGUUUGCUAAGUGCCAACUAUUUGUCAUACACAAGACUAGGCAAUGGGGAGACAGAUACUAGAGCAGAAUAAAAAAUAUCUCAGGAUUGGAUUUAGCAGCCAUUUGAACCUGGAAAAGUCCCUUGAAUUUAGUGAGCAUCCCUUUUUUAUCUUUGAAGAUAAAAUUGCCUCUUGUAUCUGAAGAGGUUAUAAUGGAUAUCCUAGGAGAUUUUUGAUGUGAACUUUAUUGGUAAAGUGCAAGUGUCAGAUUAACUAAAGGCAAUGACAAUCCUUCUAGAUGUUUUCCUUCUCUCAAUAAGCAUUGUUUAGAUUCAAUAGCAGCUUAGAACCUAAUAUAUGUAUAAUGUUUCCCUCUAUUUCAGAGCAAUGGAAUAUUCUCAGAAAAUAGACUUGAGAGCAGGUUCUAUAACUUCAUUUCUCUUUAGUUGCUUCUUCCUCUACCCUUCUACCCCCCAGUUUAGUCUACUCAGAUAAAGAAUAAGCACUAUGUUGUUCAUGUUUGUGGUAAGUGAAAACAGUCAACUAAUCACUAAUUUAAUCACUAAUUUUUUCUUUGUGUGUAUUUGACACUCAAGUUCUUUGCCUUUAAUAAUGUUUAAUCAGCAUUUUAUGUUUCUUUUGUACCUUUUUUUUUCUUUUUUUUUGAGAUAGGGUCUCACUCUGUCACCCAGGCUGGAGUGCAGUGGCACAAUCUUGACUCACUGCAACCUCCACCUCCUGGGCUCAAGCCCUCCUCCCACCUCAGCCUCUUGAGUAGCUGAGACUACAGGCAUGCACAACCAUACCUGGCUAAUUUUUGUAUUUUUGUAGUGAUGGAGUUUCUCCAUGCUGCCCAGGCUGGUCUCGAACUCCUGAGCUUGGGUGAUCCACCCCCGUCGGCCUCCCAGAGUACUGGGAUUAUAAGCGUGAGCCACCAUACCUGGCCUCUUUUGUACCUUUCCAGAGAAAUAUCCAUGUCAAUUAUUGACAAUCCUCAUAUUCAGCUUCUUUUAAAGCUGGAGGAGUUGGAGAAACAGCCUGGUCCUCUCCUCUCACCAUUCAUUUGGGAAAGCCAGGGCUUGACAGAUGCUCCCUCCGGAGGAGUGUGUAGUAGGAGAUGAAGUCUGGUGUCAGGUAACCUUGGGAAAGUUACUUACUCUCCCUAAUCUCACCGAUCCUGUGUUCUUUUAAUCUACACAAUAGAGCUACAAGUUCCUAGUCACAUAAAUAUUCUAAGACUGGCAUACAGCAGGAACCAACACAACUCUGUGCCCUGGGGUCGGGUUCCUCAAUGAGGAAAUGGCGGAGCUGGGGCUGUGAUCCAGGACGCUGGUUCUCAAGCCUGCUCCUGUUCCUCUGCCUGUGGUCCUUUCCCUCAUUCCCACACAGGCCUGCAGAUGCUCAGCACUGGUCCAGAAUAGCAACCACCAGGGCAUCCUCCCUGUUUUCUCUCCCUUGGAGGGAAGUGCAGUCAAUGGGGCCUGGGAACACCUAGAUGAGGAGGCACUGUCAUUUGCAAACACUUUUUUUUUUAACUUUAAUUUCUUGCACGGAAAUCAAAGAAAUAUCAUUCAACUAACUUCAUAAUAAGAGGCAAAUGCAGUUUCCUAACCCCAAAAUCUCCAGAGGAUGAGUAUGAAUUGAUGUGCUAGAAUUUGAAGAUGGAAGGGCCUUGACUUUUUAUUAUGAGUGUGAUUAAAUAAAUCCCUCUGGCCACCUCUAAAGCCUCCUCUAAUUCUGUCUCUGCCUAGGGACACAAGAUCAUUUCUUUUCUGAGAUGAUCUUCUGUACAGCCUUUCUGAUAUCUCCACAUUUGCCUACUGUUUUCUUUCCUAUGCUUUUCCGGGAAGUCUUUUUUGUACAAAAUUAACAUGGGUCUGUUUACAUUCAGAAGAUUCUUGGGGUGGGGCAUUACAAUUGCUUGGUUAACCGAUCAGACCAAUUCUUUCUUUGUAUGAUAUACCUUCCUCAUGCACAGCUUCUUCAUUUCUGGUUUAGAAUAGUCAUUGUAUCAACCUGCUUAGCAUGCUGACUUUGCUUAAUUAGCAUUGAGGGGUGCAAACCACUUAAUUCUCUCACACUGCAACUCACACUCACUGCCUUCAGUUAAUUCCUUAAAGAUGAUGAAGUGGAAGGCAGGGAAUAUAGAACUCCCUGCCCCCACCACAAAUCUAAGCAAACAAGGAUGGGACCAGGAGGAAGAACCCAUUUGUGUGGGUCCUCCACAGCUGCUGGCUUAUGUAUUCUUCAGUGUGCCGCUGCAAGGUAUAAAUGGUGCACAUCAUUUUGUAGAUGAGAAGCGGCAUACAGGAGAGGCAGGAUUUGGAUCUAAACCUGUACCAUGAGGUCUCUCAAACUUGGAAUGGGAGGUCAGGAGCCACGUUGUUUUCUUCUCUGUAUCCUGGGUGCCUGUUAUCUUACGGUAGGUGGUCAGUAAACCUGUAACUAAUGAAUGAACAUCUGUAUUGGUAAAAAGACACAGGUUACUAUUGCUCUUCAAGUGGGGUGGGGAUCCGUAGCCAGUAAACCCCAACCCAAGGCCACUUACUGUUUAUGAGACUUAACAGACUUGCGUGUGGAGAGCACCCUUCUGACCUCAUUGUUUACAAAGGAUGUCAAAAGAUGUGGCUAGGGUUAGAGUUAUCUUAGGAGCAGAGCUCUGGGUAAGAGUCAGAUGAUCUUUCUGGGCUCCCGGCACUAAGUUUUAUAUUUGAGCACUAGUUUCUAAACCUCCACAUGAAACCAGCUCUCACUGUGCUGCCAAGCCUGAGACAUUAGGGACUGAAGUUCCCUUGUUCCAAGAGGAUGAGCUUUGUCAAAGGAGGAUGAAUAGACUCUGCUCAUGUUUUGGCUCCAGCAGCCUCCUGCCUAUAGAAGCGUUUUCCUUCACUGGGGCUAGGCUGAACUUCAUUUCAGAGAGGCAUAAAAAGUCUGAGAUCCCCAGGGGAUCUGGCACAGGAAAAUGAAGUCAUUUUACAUUUGUGGCGUGAUUCAAAUUGGAAUCACACAAGUCAGAACGACAGGAUGCUGGAGUACUUUGUUUAGCUCUUCUGUGCUUCAGGAGCUAAGCUUUCUUCAGCUUCCUGGAGAGAGGAAGUGGGUAUGUAUGGAAUACCCAUUUGCUUUCUAUAGUCUUCAAGGUCCUUUUCCCUUACGUAAAACACCAAGCCUAAAUCUUACAUUCAGCUUUUUAGAAGGCAGAACAAGCAGCCAUUGAGCUCUUGCUGUGGGACUGACCCCGCCUUCUGCCUGAUGUCAGUGGGGAUACUGCUUACCUUCCUUCCUGCAAGGAAAUCCACACACUCUUAUUUCAUCCGGCCUGGGGAGGAGGGGAAAGAGGAAGUCACCUGUGAAAUUGUCUUUGCGCUUUGGACUCAAGCCCCCAGGUAGGGCAGUAACAGGUAUUCUAAUCUCUGCAGGUCUCCUUACCUUCCUGUUUGGUCUCGGGUGGUUUGUUUUUGACCUACGUAGCUUAUGGGUUUUCCCUGCUUGGGCUGCUGCCCCCUGGGUCCUUCCCCUCUCUCCCUGCAGCCUUAUGCAGCAACAGCUCCCUGUGCUUUCCCUUCCCUCCUCCUGCUGCUGCAUCUCUGCCUUCGCCCCUAGCAGGUGCUCAUUCGUCACAUCACAUAUGCUACCAUAUUGAAUAAGCACAACAUCCCAGUGGGGGUGGGCUUUGUAGAGAGGAGUCUGAAGUGCAGAGACAAUGAGUGAAUCACUCAGGCUUGCAAAGCUGGUGAAACAAGGAUCCAUCUCUGGUCGGCUUACAAAUAUUCUCCAUGCUCCUUCCACUAACUCAUGAUACGCUUUAAAGUUUACAGUUUAUUCUGUACCAAACGUUAGCCCAGCUGUCUUAGUCAGCUUGGGCUGCUGUAACAAAAUACCAUAGAUUGGGUGGCUUAAACAACAGACAUUUAUUUCUCACAUUCUGGAGGCUGGGAAGUCCAUGAUCAAGGUGCUGGCAGAUUUGGUUCUGAUGAGGGCCCUCUUCCUGGCUUGUAGAGGCAGCCCCGUCACUACGGGCUCACAGGGCAUUUCCCCUGUGUGUGUUCGCACAGAGAUCUCCUUCUCUCUUUUCUUCUUAUAAAGGUAUUAAUUCCAUCAGGAGAACCCCCUUGUGAUAACCAACCUAAAUUUAAUUAACUUCCAUAGGUCCCACCUUCAAAUACCAGCACAUGAGGGGUUAGGAUUUCAACACAGGAAUUUCAGGAGGACACAUUCAGCCCAUAACACCAACCAGUUUUAUUUUUACCAUCCUCUGGAAACAAAAUAAGGAACUUGUAACAUGUUCUUCCCGGGCAUUAGAUGAUCUGAAUGUGUCACCCUCAAACUCAUAUGUUGAAACUUGAUCCCCAAUGUGACAGUAUUUUUAAGAGGUGGGGCUCUUAGGCAUGAUUAGGUCAUGAGGGUGGAGCAAUGGGAUUAGUCCUCUUAUCAAGGGGCUUCAUGCAGUGUCCUCCCCUUUUUCUUUUUUGCCCUUCUGCUAUGUGAGGACACGGUUUCCCUGUGAGGAUGCAGCAAGAAAGCACCAUCUUGGAAGCAGAGAUCCUUCACCAGGCACAGAUUCUGCUGGCACCGAGAUCUUGGACUUCCCAGCCCCCAAACUAUGAGAAAUAAAUUUCUUGUAUUUCUAAAGUACCCAGUCUGUGGUGGUUUUCAUAUAGCAGCAUAAAUGGACUAAGAAAAGGAUGUUCCUGGGGGUCACCAAGUAUCUCACCUGUGUGGUUCCCCAUCGUGAUAGUUGGAUUCAAAGCUGAAGGUUGUCACUGACUUCUGGGUUCUCUCUGCUUGCCUGUCUAGGGCAUUAACUCUGGAAAUACUUUGUUUCUUUGUUCCCAACCAUCCAUCUCAAAUCUCUUUCCCUGCUUUCUCCAAGGAUGUUGUGCAGGUCUUUGUGCAAAUAAGAAUUUCAACCUAUAUUGGAUAAGCCAUAUUUACAGAGGUGAAUUUGAUUUGUAGAUAUGACCUUUUCCUUGCCCAAUGACAGUACCCUGAGGUUGAAGUCUGUUGCUCAGAGAAUUUGGAUGCACUAGCUUCUCCAAAUAUCUGCUCAUCCACACAGCAGAGGGAUAAGAGGAGACCAGUCUGCUUCUCCCUCUUUCCAAUCCCUAAACCUUAUAAUUUGUGUACAAAGGAACUAAUUUUGAAGAGCAGAAGGUCAAGGAAGACUAACAAAAAUCUAUCUUUUUGAAAGAAAGCAGCACUGGAUUUAGGUAGCCAUACAAAUUGUCCCAAGUGGUGUUCUACUCCAAAAUAGUGUGCACACCUUUUUAGCCCUACAAUGAGUUGGUGGCUGACUGUGCCAAGUGCCUGCUUGCAAAGCUUUCCUCUGGAAGGGAGCCCUGGAAAUGCUGAGCAGUGGUGACCCCACAUUGCCUUUGGGGGCUGAAUUGUCACCAGCCACAAAGAUAGAUCCUUUUACCUUUUGCAUAAUCCAGACAUGUGGUUUGGAAGAGAAAUAAUUCAUUUAAAUCUCCCCUGCCUCUCAAUUUUGCAUAAAGUAAAUUCAAUUCCAUUCAAUUUGCACAGAUUUACUGAAAAUGUACUCAGGGUUGGGCCCAAUGUGAGGUGUUGUGGACACAGUGGCACAUAAGACACUGUUUUGGCCCUUGAGGAGCUCAUAGUGCAGAGGGAGAGACAGUCAGGUAAAAAAUGACAUGGUACAGAGAUGAGUCACUCUGUUGUGGCAGUGACAGUAUAACUGUCCAGUGGGUUCUUCUUGCCCACUGCACAAAUAAAGAGCAUGACGUUGCAGUAAAGGAAGAGUUUAAUGGAUGGAAGUCUGGCCAUACCACGUGGGACAUAGAGUUACUACUCAAAUCAAUCUCAUCCAAGGCUCGUAGGUCAGGGGUUUUUCAAAGACAGUCUGUGGGAGAGGGUGGGGGUGGCCAGGUAAUGGGUGUUUGCUGCCGAAUCGGGGCAGAGAUGAAAUUACAGGGGGUCAACAGUGUCCACUUGAGCUCAGUUGCUUCUGGAUGGGGGUCAUAGGAGCAAGGGUCAGUGGGCCCAAGUAGAGCCAUGUGUGUCAGACACGCAAAAAACCUGAAAAGAUAGCUCAAUUGGCCGAUCUUAGGUUCUACAAUAGUGGAGUUAUUUGCAGGAAUGGCUGGCAAUCAUCUAUGUCUACACCUUACCAAAAUUCAGAUUCCCCUUCUCCCCCAGGUGAUGCCCUUUCAUUCACUUUACAGAGGUAGUUGAGUUUGGGGGAAGGCCUAUUAUCAUUUAAACUAUAAACUAAAUGUCUCUCAAAGUUAGCUUAACCCAAAAGCCCAGGAAUAAUUAAGGGAAAGGCAAGAUAAGGAUGGGUUUGAUCAGAUCUUUUACUACCAUAAUUUUGUUACUACUAUAAUUUUUGCAAAGGUGGUUUCAACAGGAUAGCCUGCGUUGACAGGGGAGGGUGUGUAAAGACCCUGGAGAAACCAACAGAGGUGGCCUGGGGGCAGCCACAAUAUCUGAGGCUUGGAGAACACAAAUGUGUUAACCCAGCAGGCCAGAAGCAGUGUGGGUGUGAGGUCAGAUAUGUCACAGGCAGAGAGAACACAUGCUAUCAGCAAAGGCACAGAAUCUGAGAGUCCAGCACGCCAAUGGAACAGAGUGUGGUGUGUGGAAAGAGGGGCACAAAGGGAGGCAAAGCCCAGGAUCGUGGAUCAAGGGUGAUCCAUGCCAUGACAAUAAGGACAACUCCUUAUUGUCAUGCAAUGCUUCCCAAGAUUUUAUUGACAGGGCAGAGACACAAUCAGAACUGUGUAUUAGAAAGAUGUCCCUGGAAGCUAGGGAUAAGAAAGUUUGCAGAGUGAGGCUCAGCAGGGAGCCACGGACUUAGGUGGGAGGCUAUUCCAGGUAUCCAGGAGAGAAAUGGGGAGGCUCUAUGGAGAGUGUGGGAGUAGAAUGAGGCUGGCCUUGAGGAAUGUCAAGAGGGCAGGACUGACAGUUACCACCUGGACGUGAGACACUGGGCAUGGGAAGAGUGCUGCCAGGCAAGUAAGUCUCAGAUCAACACACAUGCGUUGCUAAAGCUACUGACCAAGGCUCUGGCCAGAUUGAUGGCCUCCUGGCGGUGGCCUUUACUGCUCCCCUUGUACACCUGAGGCAGAGUUACUUACAUUAAUGUCUGUGUCUCUUCCACUGCCUUUGCAAACAGAUCCCUGAGUUCUAAGUGAAUCAGAGCCUGCAUGGUACUUUUCCUCUGACUUCAGACUAGUCAUACAUUUUGGAAUUCUUCCAUGUUGAACUUUCACAUCCUGCACAGAACACUCGGGCCCUGAGACAGCCCUACGCCAUUUGGUGAGACCUUUGGUGAAAAGUCAAGGUCUGGGUUUAUGACACAAUAUUUUUUCCUGGUCUAUUUAUCCCUGGCACAGUUCAGAGCUGGCCUAUUGGAACAGGAGGUUCCAGCCUUCUCAUUCACCUGGGCACUCUCUAACCUCAAAUCAAAUUCUACUGUCUCCCAGAUUACAUUCUGAGUUCCUAAAUAUGUGGGGAAAAAUACUCUCAAAUGCCUCCCUAAGAAUACACACAGUCAUAAAGCUCACGUACAUUCAAAUUGCUUUUUAAAAACAAAGACCGUGAAAAACCAAAGCUAUAAAAGUAUGUGAAUCAUCAACCCAGAAAUCAUGCCUCAAGGCACGCCUGACAGCAUGUUCGUUCCCGGAUGCUUUUCCUUCACAAAUUAUGGAGGCUGCCGACAUCCUUCUGGGGAAAGGAUUAUCUGAUUCCGCAGGCAGUUAAGAAUAACAUGUAAAUGUCAUUUAGAUGAGCUAUUUCUACAUGGAUCAAAAGACACACUCAAGUUACCAACUAUGAUAGCCAAACCCUUUAUUUCAAUAAAAUCAGAGCAAACCCACAAAACUCUCCCAACUGAAUUAGCACCAUUGUGGUGUGGGAGGCAUUCAGACAUUCCUUCCAGGUUAGUAGACUAUUUGCAAUUCAGCUGUUUUACUGAUGUGCAUGUUAUAUAACUGCCACCAGCCAUGGGGGAAGCUAGAAUCCAAGGCGUCUCAAAAUUUUCCACUGUGUACUCAAAGCCAACAGGAGAGAGUGAAUGAAUACUCCCUUGCUUUAUGGUGACAUAGCUAAAACUGUCUUUCCAGUAAAUACCAGAGUGAGAGGCAAUGUAACAUAGUGGUUAUAUUUAUGGGUUCUGGGGUAGAGUGUCUUGGAUUUGAAUCCCUAUACGUUUGGGAGCUGCGUGUCUUGGAUAACUUCUGUUGCCUCUCUCAGUUUGGAUUCUUGUUGGCUUCAACGAUUUUAUCUUCCUUAUUGAGUUACUCUGAAGGUUAAGUUAAUAGAUGUUAAUCCUUAAUAUAUGUUAAGUUCCUCUAUUUAAGGGCUCCAUAAAUGUAAGCUAUUGUUUUAAAACAAAACUGUAAGCUCUAUGCCUUGUUUUAAUUCAGGCAAUGUUGCAUUUUGCUGUCUCUGUGUCUCUAAUACAAAAUAAUGUUUCCCUCCAAAUUUCCAGUAGAAUUGACCCUCCCAGGAGAGGUACCAUAUUUGUGCCUGGAUUUGCAUAAAACCAGGUUCACUGCCACAGAUUCCAAGACUGACCUCACCCUAAUGUGAGAAGCACAGUCAGACUGAAGAGAAGGCAGAGAUGCUUCCCUACCAAGGCUCCUUGGAGAUUUAUUGUUGUUUAUUUUCUAGAUAACUGAGUAAAAACCAAUUUUUGUAGGUAAUGUUACCAUGGAAUGGAUUACCUAGUUGCUGUAGUUUAAUGGGUAAUGUCUAGAAAAAUAUAUGUCUCAAAGCUUUGUUGUUUCUAAGGAACUUCACUGGUGACUUUACUUAGUAAGUCAGCACUAUGUAGUACAACGGUCACUGUCCAGAUCUGGAGAUGAAGUAGGUGGAGGGAAUUGUGGUGUAUGUUGCUUAUUACUGUCAAAGAACACUGGCUUCAGAGUCAGGAAACCCGGGGUCUAGGCCUGCCUUUCUCUUGACUUAUUCUGUCAUUUUGCACUUAGGAUUCAAAUGCAGGUGCAUUGAUUCUAGAGCUCAUAACCUUGGCUGUUUCUUUAUACAUCUGAUUAAAAGGCUGUGACUACACUGCACAUGUCUUUUCUGAGCUUGUGAUAGGCCUGCUUAUCUCUGCUGGUUUUUACUUUUAAGAAGCCACUGGAUUGUUAUACAAUCAGUAAACAUGCAUGCUCUCCGUAAAUCAAUCUGGAUCUGCAUCUGAUCUUUUUCCCAAUCACUGGUCGCGCAUUUCUGACUGUGUAUUAGAAACUCAGUUCCCCAUUUGACCUUGUGUUUUCCCACCAGUGGUCACAUCUCAUGUAUGUGACUUCCCCUGUGACUGGCACCUGGCAGGGCCAUGGUAAAAUUGGUUUAUUACCCAAAUGCAUGAAAUCAUAAGUCUCUGUACCACUUAAAUGAAAUGACAAUUCUAAAUACAAAUUUAAUUCGUUUGUACUCAAGGAACAAUGCCAUUUCUAUGAACAAGACUAAAAAUAAACUGUGAAAUGAUCUUUAUCAGUCAAGAAUAAACAAAACAAAACAUUGACUACAAUCACAUCGCUCCAGCGCCAGCGUCAUCAUUUCAACAUCUAUUUGGCUUCUUUGCUUCUAGUAACUGUGUGGCUACAAUUUAUGGUUGUAAAUAUGGAUGAAAGAAAGCAUGAAGAGUUUAGAACAUAAUUGAAUUUAAAAUGUUCCUUCUGGAAAUGUCUGGUCCAAGGACUUAGGAUCCAACCUGAGUUCUUUGCAUGGGAGAUUUGGGGGAAUUUGCAAAAAAAAAAAAAAAAAAGAAAAAAGAAAAAUACUGAUUCGUGACUCAAGGAAAGGGGGCUUAUUGAUGACUCAAUUUUUUUCCUGAAAUCAAACUUCUCUUACAAGAUGGCAUUUGAGUACAUUAAAGGUAAAUAGCACGGAAACAUAUGGUUUGAAUUUCCCAUGAAAUGUGAAAGUUUUGAUAUUAAGGGAGCACAUACUUCAGAAAGAUAAUUUGGCCUCUGCUAAAACCAGAACAUUUAAGAAAUCCUUCUAGAGACUUUGCCAAAACCCAGGGCCAUUGGACUGUUUUUGCCUAGCAGCUUCCACUUCAGCCAGUACCCCUAGUGACCCGGCCAAGUGAAACAGAGAACUCAGCAUCUUCUGAGGGGAUGUCUGCCAAUCUCAACCCUGGUGAUAUGUUCAAGGGCUUCCAGCUCAUCCUGUGAGCCAAGAGAACAAUUUGAAAACGCUGGAGUCUCUUAGCAUAUCUGCUUCGGGUUACUUUGAGAGACAGUGUGUGGGAGCUGCCAGGCUGAGAACAGGAUCCAUGCUGGAAACUAUUUGCAAAAGCCCCACUUCCUUCUGCCAGGCCAGCUUCUCCGCAACCCAGACAGUCUGUGCGAGAACAAAAAAACAAGGACUAUUGUCAAAUUAAUAGCACUCCCUAAAAAAGUAUGGCAGGUGGUGAGAUUCUUGGCCAUUGAGUUCCAGCCAAAACAUUUCACAUUUUUUUCUCCUGAGGGAGGCACUGGGAGCUUGCUGUGAGUCAGAAGUGUGGGGGCUGCAGCAGAGAGUGGCCGCUUGAGCAUCUUGCCUGUUCCUGAUGAGAAUUAGUCAAUUCUUGGAAAGAGGGAAGAGCUCGCCUUGCUCUGCUACCCACUUCCAGAUUCUCUGCUCAGCCUUGGGUUGGAGAGUGAGUAAUCUAAUGUGAUUCUGUUUAUUCCACUCAAUACAUAUACAUUGACUGAGUUAUUUAUUCAGCAUCAGGCUCAAUGCUAGGUCCUGGGAAGAUAGAAAUAUAUUGGACUCACUAUUUUCCCUCAGAGGACUUAUGAAACAGUGCAAAAUUCCUCUGAAUAUGUUACAGAACAUUCAUCCUUGGGGAUGAACCAUCAAAACUAUGCCAUGUGCAAAAGUUUUAGAAAACGUUGAAUUCCCUCUCAUUCUUCAUGGAUAUACACAAUGUAAUCUCCAUGAAGAUUCAAUGUAUCUCCACACUGAAAAGCUCUGUCUUUCAGAAAAGCAACUAGCUUAACAGCUUUCUCAAAUUUUUAAUGAGUAAUACUCUCCCCUAAACACACACACACAUUUUUCUCACAUGGCUAUUACCCACAGCAACUUUAGGAAAUAACAGCCCAGUACAAAGAGCCAAACUUAUCCUUUCGGGAGACAAAGACGAUAUUUAAAGAUAACCACAAAGUAUGGAGUUAGCACAGAGGACAGUGGUAGAAAAUCAGAAGACUCUAUUGAAGAGAUGGGAUUCUAAGUAGGUUUUGAUAGAAGAAUGAAGUUUUUCAGAUAGAAAACACAGGGAUGACCCUUCCAGGCAAAGAGAAAGUCAUGUGCAAGGACAUGUUGUUUUCCCGAAUGAAGCUCUCUCCCAUUUGUAGGAAAGUGGAUGGGAGGACAGCAGAGGGAAUGCCGAGAAAGGCUAGAACCAGAUCUCAAGCUUGUUAGAUGCCAUACCACUGUUUUCAGCUGUAGGUAAAUAUUAAAAUAUGGAAAGACAGCUUUCUUUCUCCUAGUUCAAGUACCUGGUGUUUAACCCAAUGUACCUUCUUCAUGCAUUGUGUGAUGUGCUCUUUUCUACUGCAUUCAAUCAAAGCCAUCAAGCCCAAUUUUCUAUAAAAUGAAGGCCUCUGAAGAAAGGGAAGAAUGGCUCUGCUGUUCGGGAGCACUCACCCAGGAGGUACCUAGGUGCCUGGGACUGUGCAAACAAACUUGAGAGAUGUGUUUAUGCAGGGAAAAGUUGAGGUAACUCAAUGGCCUAUAUUAUGAUGGGAAUGCUGAGGAAUGAGGCAGAUUGGGGUUGAGAUUCCAAUGGGUGAGCUGGAAAUUGUCUGGGAAGGAAUGAAACCCACAUGGUAAUCCUGAACUAAGCAAAAUUUGGUGGCUGUUUGCCCUAUCAGGCACAAGGUCCUCUAGAAAGUGCAGGAGUCAGGGAGACUGGGGUCUCGUUCCAGCUGAACACAACUUGCUGUGCAAAUCAUGGGCAGAUGGCUUUCCCUGUAAAGUGAAAUGGAUUAGACCAUGAAACUCAAAGAACAUUUCAGCUCCAAUAUACUAUAAUCUAUCCAUUGUCAGCAAAUGCUCAACAUUAAGUUAAAAAUUAAAACAAAUUAUGUUCAAAUGUAUACAUUCGAAAGAUCAGUGAAAAAGGGAAUAUUAGACAGCUACAAUGUGCUAGACACCAUGCUAUGUUCUUAAUUCACCCAUAUGUCAACUGUGUAAAAGUUUCUUUCAUCCCUAUUUUGCAUAUGAGUGGAUGAAGGCUCAGAAAAGUUUUCCGAAGUUCUCUCAACUCCCAAAUGAGAGAGGCAGGGUUUGGUAGCAAGUCAGUGUGGGUGCAAAGCCCCUGCUCCUUUUUUUUUCCAUUACAGCAUCCAUCAUCCUGAAACAAAGUUUAUUAAGCACUUUGGAGUGGACUGAGGAGCAGAGUGGUCUGCCUUCCAAAGUCAAGAGGAUGCUGUUAAUGGAACAGGGGACAAAUGGAAAAUGCCAAGGCUAAGUGUUUCCUAAUGGAGUUUCUUGGCAUAGAAGUGUGGCAUCAUACAGAGGCUGCUCUGCACAAAGUAGCUUGUGGAGUCCAGCCACUGGGGCAAAGUUUCACCAACACAGGGGUAACCAGGCAAACUGGAGCCCACUCACUGGAAACAGCUGCCUCUCCCCACUCCCCCGCCUCUUUUAUCCAGGUCAGGUGGGGCUAGCUUUGCUUCAACAUGGCCAAUAAAACCUCACCCCAGAAACCUUCCCCAGUGUAACCCCAAUUUGGAGAAAAGCCAUGUGAAUUGAAGCCCAGUGGCCAAUUCGGAUUCAGUCUGAGCAAGGUCAUGAAAACACUGCAUUGCUGGCUGGUUGGUCUGCUAGGCCUCCUGUAACCAAAUAAUCACAAACCUUGUGGUUUAAACAACAGAAAUUGAUUUCUCACAAAUAUGAAAAAGUUACUUCUCACAUGUGGAAGCUAGAUGUCUAAGAUCAAGGCAUCAGCAGGUUGAGGUUGUCUCGAGGCCUCUGCCCUUGGCUUGCAGAUCACCACCUUCUUCUCACGUGGCCUUUUCUCUGUGCACAUACACUCCUGGUAUCUCCCUCUCUUCUUCUAAGGACACCAAUUGCAUUGGACUAGGGUCCAUCCCUGUGACUUCAUUUAACCUUAGUCAUCUCCAAGGCCUUAACUCCAAAUACAGUCACACUGGGGAGUGAAGAUGCCAACAUACACAUUUUGAGAGUGCACAGGUCAGGAAAGAAGGUGUUCUAGUGAAAUUUUCAUUGCAAAUAUAUUCAAAUGGAAAAACCAUGAGGGCAGUUAGCAAUGGGAUAACAUUUAGAAACACUUAGAAUAGUAGUUCUCAACGCUGGCUGCACGUGAAAUCACGUCGGGAACUUUCUAAAACUGCCAAUGUUUGGGUUCUAAUCUCGAACAUAAGAACCCCAGGGAUUGGUGUAUUAGUCAGAGAUCUCCAGAGAAACAGAACCAAUGAUGUAUGUGUGUGUGUGUGUGUGUGUGUGUGUGUGUGUGUGUGUGUCUAAAGAGAGAAAGAGACACAGAGAGAGAUUUUCAGAUAUUGGCUCAUGUGAUUAUGGAGGCUGGCAAGUCCACAGUCUGAAGAGUCGGCCAGCAGGCUGGAGACCCAGGGAAAAGCUGAUGCUGUAGCUUGAUUCUGGAGGUAGAAUUUCCUCUGCCUUUGGACAGAGCUGCCUUUUUUUCAACUGAUUGAACAAGGCCUAUCCACAUUAUGGAAGUUAAUCUGCUUCAUCCAAAGUCUACUUAUUUAAAUGUUAAUCUCAUCUAAAAACUACCUUCAUGAAUAUUUCCACACUGAUGUUUGGCCAAUAUACCAAUAUUUUGGUACCAUGUGCUAACCAAGUUGACACAUAAAAUUAACCAUCCAGCUGGUAGUCUUUUUUUUUUUUUUUUUUUUUUUAGAUGGAGUCUCACUCUGUCACCCAGGCUGGAGUGCAGUGCAGUGGUGCUAUCUCAUCUCACUGCAACCUCUGCCUCCUAGGUUCCAGUGAUUCUCCUGCCUCAGCCUCCAGAGUAUCUGGGAUUACAGGCAUGCACCACCACACCUGGCUAAGUUUUGUAUUUUUGGUAGAAAUGGGGUUUCACCAUGUUGGCCAGGGUGGUCUCAAACUCCUGACGUCAGGUGAUCCACCCACCUCGGCCUCCCAAAGUGCUGUGAUUACAGACAUGAGCAACCGUGCCUGGUCCCAGCUGGUAGUCUUUAAUAGCUCUUCUGGUGAUUCCAACAUGCCAUCAGGGUUGAGGGCUAUUGACCCAGGACCAGGGCUUUCAGAGCCAAGAAACAGGAUUCUGCCUCACAUACCAGGCUCUUUCCACCCUGCCUCAGUCAGAGGAGCCACUUUCUUCACUGGUUCCUCAGUCUCUUUUGCUCAGGUACUGGUUCUCCUUGGCUGCUCUUCUGCUGAUUUUGGGGGGAGCUUAAACAAUACUAAUGCCCAGGUUCCAAUGCAAGAGAUUUUGGUUUGCUUGGUAGGAGGUAAUCAAAAUUGCAAAUGCAGAGUACAGCCUGGGCAUCAAGGAUUUCUUCCCCAGGAAAUUCUAAACAACCAUUCAAGGAGUCCCACGUAUUUAUUCAAGCCUUCAACUUACAUUAGGUUCAUGAGAAACUUACCUUCUAAGCUGCAGUUUAUUUGUAAAUCUUGCCUCAUUAGGGAAUAUGGUAUUGCCAACAUACUUGUAUUUCCUUGAUAGGGAAAAAAUGUGUACCACAAAGUCUUCCUUAAUAAAGUGAACCACUUAGACCCUCAUGCUUGGAUAUUUAUUCCUGCCAGAAACGUGUAUUGACCAGCUUCCAUCCCAUGCCAUGUGAGCAACCCAUGCAGUCCCACAGGAGAGAAAAGGGUGAGAAGACAUUGUGUCUCUGCUUAAGAAAGUUACUGUCGAAUAGAGAAAGCAGAUAGUAAUGUCACCGUUAUACAAACAUGGUGAUUGCUGGAGGCAGGCGGUGGAGAACAAGAGCUGUAUGAGCCCAGAGUAUUUCUCAAGGUAGAAAAAGGAGUCGGGAAAGACAUGCGGGCAGACACGAGAGCUGCACUAAGGCCCAGCUGUGUGACGGUUGGUGAGGCGCUCAGGAAAUGCCAGCCUCUGGUGCUGGUGAGUCACUGAGUUCAUGGGAGGAGUGGCUGGAAAGCUGGUUUGAGAUUAGAUAGUAGAGAGCCUCGUAAGCUAGACUAAGGAGUUGGAAGUUUUUAAAAUAAGCUCUAAGGUUUUUAUGAGAGAUAGAAUUUACCAAUGUUUUAACAAAAAUUAUAUGAAAGCAAGCAAAGGGCAGCAUUGGGAAGAGGGAGGGCAGACUCAAAGGAAGGUUCUAGAAACAUCCAGGGAAACAAUUACAAAGACCUGAACUAGGGAAUUGACAAUGGAAAUUAACAGAAUGGAAAAGAUGGAAAGCAGGAAAUAGACGAGCCUAGGUAAGUGGCAGAGCCAGCACUUGAAUCAGGGUCUUGGCUCUCAUUUAACAUGCACCCAAACAGAAACAUGCAGACACACACACAGACACACACACACACAUAGACACAUGAACACCUGCUCACACACACACACACGCAUACACGCAUGCAGAGACACAGACACACACAGAUACACAUGCAUACAGGCACACACAGAGACACAGACACAGGCACUUGCACAGACACACACGCACACACACACACCGAGGGCAGAAUAUGUGCCACUCACUGGCCAGAUCCUGGGGACAUAGAGAUAGAUAUGGUUGCUGGCCUCAUGGUGCUUACAGUUGAGAGGGGGAAAUUGAUAGAUAGAAAGCCAGAGAACGUUACUGAAAUAAGCAAAGGAGAAAGACAGGUGGACCAGACUUACAGGGGAUAAAGCUUUUGGGAUAAAGCUUCUCGAAUGAAAAAAACAUCUAAGAGGGUAUCAGAAAAGUCAGUGGGAGUGAAAGGCUAGAAGGGCAGACAGGGGAGGGAGGUUGGGCUCCAGGCAGAGGGAAUGGCAGGUGGGAAGCCCAGAAGUGACAUUGCGAGAGCACACAUGAGUGCGUCUAACUCCACUGAAUGAGCUUGGUAUGGCACCACCAAGCGGUAGCAAAGAUGGUGGUGGGAAAGGAACCUGGAGAGGUGAGCAGGGCAAAUUUGACAGUGCCUAUCUCCGUCCUGGAACUGACUCUCUGCGGAGCUCUGAACAAUGGCAAAGGCGUGCACCCCUCUUCUCCCCAGCAGGCUGCUCACAGCUAUGCCUAGAAUAGAGCACAUGGUCUGUUCAGCAAAGGAGUGAACUGUUCAAAGGAUAUUUUAAUGAUAAAGGAGGAAAUAUUCUUCUGUAUGAAAAUAUUGUAGAAAAAAAGUGGGUCACUUCAACCUGGCAAAAUAUGAAUAUGGGAUUAGAUGUGUAAAUCCAUGGCAGAUUUAAAGUGAGGGUAUGAAUUCUCAAUAGAUAUUCAUAGUCUUAAAGAAAAAUAUCCGGCCAGGCGCAGUGGCUCACGCCUGUAAUCCCAGCACUUUGGGAGGUCAAGGCUGACAGAUCACCUGAGGUCAGGAGUUUGAGACCAGCCUGGCCAAUGUGGUGAAACCCUGUCUCUACGAAAAAUACAAAAAUUAGCUGGGUGUGGUUGUGGGCGCCUGUAAUCCCAGCUACUUGGGAGGCUGAGGCAGGAGAAUCACUUGAAUCCGGGAGGCAGAGGUUUCAGUGAGCUGAGAUCAUACCAUUGCACUCCAGCCUGGGCAACAGAGCAAGACUCUGUAUCCAAAAAAAAAAAAAAAAAAAAAUCCAAGCUCCUUAAAAUGGGGAAGAUCAUGACAGCAACAGCCUCAGGUCUGUGUCUGGCCUCAUUGGUCACCUUCCUCUGCUGCAGGUCUACUGAACCACUUGUGCUUAUCAGGUUGUGCCGAAUUCUUUCCCUCUUCUUCCAUUCACAUCCCCAUCUUGCCUACCUGGUAAACUCCCAGUUGCUCUUCUAGUCUCAACUCAAGUGCUGACUUCUCUAAGAGAUGGUCUUAAACUCCUCAUAAGACAAAGUCAGAUAACUCCUUCUUCAAGCUAAAAUAGUAUAUUCCUAUUUGAUUAUGUGCCACAUUGGAUUCUGAACACCUGCCUAGAGGUCUGGGUGCCCCGUCACCUGGAAACUCAUGUUGUAUCCAUUUCUAAACUUUUAGGGGUUGAAGCUACAACAAUCAAUAAGGAUAGGCACCCUGUUUACCUAAGUACAAUAUUUUUCUCAAUCUUUAUAAUACACAAUGCUACAGUCUUUUUUUGUAGUAAAACUAAAUCCAAAUAAAUAAGUGGUAAAACUGAGCUGUGAGACCAAAGCUCCUGCUCUUCAUCACUGGCCAGUCCAGAUUCCAGGAUGCUGUGGUUUGAAUAUGGUUUGUUUGGCCCUGCUAAGUCUCAUAUUAAAAUUUGAUCCCCAUUGUGGGAGGUAAGGUUGCAUAGGGUGGGAGGCAUUUGGAUCCUGGGGGUGAGGUUGGGUCCCUCAUGAACGUCAUGGUGCCUUUCUCAUGGGAGUGUGAGUUCUUACUUUUGGUUCCCCUGAAAACUGGUUGCUAAAAAGAGCCUGGCGCCUCCUCCUCUCCCUCUUGCUUCCUCUCUUGCCAUCUGACUUCUGCAUAGGCUGGCUCCUCCUCAACUACUGCCGUGAGUGGAAGCAGCCUGAAGCCUCACCAGAAGCAAGUGUGGGCGCCAUGCUUUUUGUACAGCCUGCAGAACCAAAUAAACCUCUUUUAUUUAUAAGUUACCCAGUCUCAGGUAUUGCUUUACAGAAACACAAACAGACUGACACAGGAAUAGAAUAAUUUCAAUGAAUAAAUAAAUAGAAUCUUAUAACCAAAUCAUAGAAGUGGCAGCUCCCUUUUAAAACUUAGUGUUCCUUUCAAAACAUAUUCCUAACAUAGCACAAUAACUACUCGUUUGAUAAAUCCAUGCAACUUGAGGUUAUCUAGUACAGGGCUGAGGUGUGCAUAAUUUAAUUCUCCACUUUUCUGGCACUGGGGCUCCAGCUGAGGGAGAUUUCUAGGUAAAUGGGCACUGUCCAUGUUAGUGCACUCUUGGGGGAUACAGAUGGCACACUGGACAUUGACCACAGUUAAUUUUGCUGAAUGCUUCCUGGGCAAUAAUGGUUUCUCUGCUGUUUUAAAAUGUUAGAAGCUGCAGUGGGGUAACUGCUUUCCAAGCUGAAUGUUUGACAUCUGCUUGUCAUCAAACUUUAUUCAAACUAAGCUAAGGCAGGUCACUGUGGCUCACACCUGUAAUCCCAACACUUUGAAAGGCUGAGGCAAGAGGAUUGCUUGAGGCCAGGAGUGCAAGACUAGCCUGGACAAUAUAGGGAGGUCCUAUCUCUACAAAAAAUAAAAUAAUUAGCUAAGCAUGAUAGUGCAUGCCUGUAGUCCCAGUUACUCAGGAGGCUGAGGUGGGAGGAUUGCUUGAGCCCAGGAGGUUGAGGCUGCAAUGAGCUAUGAUUGCACCACUGCACUCCAGCCCUGGUGACAGAGCAAGACCUUGUCUGAAAACAAAACAAACAAGCAGACUAAGCUGGUACCUAGAAUACCUGUCCUCUUUCCAAAGUAACAAUGAUAACAACAGCUACUACUACUUAUUAGUCGCUUAUACCAUGUGGCAAGCAGUGUUAUGAAUCAAGAAGUAUAUCAUCCCAGUUCACACAGCUACAUUACAAAAACUGUUAUUCAUCCCAAUUCACACAGCUACUAAAUAAUGAAGGCGAUAUUUAAAUGCUUAAAUUGGAUGUUUCUAGAACAGAGGCUGUCCAUAGCAGCAUCCACAGAAUACCUAGCUACUUUUGUUUCAAAUGUCCUGUACCUGUGCUUUCUUUCUCUUCACUCUUUAGAGAGGCAGGUUUUUUUAAAAAAGUGGCUCAUGGUUCCCUCUUAGCUGCGGCAUAAAUCAUUAAAGUCACCAUGACUCUGCCCAGGUCACCACUCCAGUCUCCUCUCCUGCAAUGCCUCCAUGCCCUGUGCCAGACCAACCCCACUCAGGCCAGGUACUCCUCUCUUAGGCCUCCUAUGCUUUAUCCAUGGCAGCCCAUUGGCUUUGAGCAUCCUUUCCCUUCUUUUCUCCAGGCAAAACCCUGCUCAUUUUUCUAUCCCAGAUCCUUUGUUACUCACUCUACGCAGGAGAGAGCUCUAAUCCACUAGCACCUGUGAGGCACACAACACAUAUGGCACUUUAUACAAUUCUCUGUUCACUUUUAUGUCUUCCUCACCUGACCAUGAUAACUUUUAGGAGAAAACACUUUGUUUUAAUGCAUCUCUUUCUACUUAAUCCUCACACAUGGGCUGAUGUGUAGUAGGCUUUCUGCAAAUUCCAUUCAUUCAUUAAUUCAACAAAUAUUUAUUGAUUAUCUUUUUAUGUUUUAGCCAUGGUAAUUAUUGCUAAAGACAAAUAUAACAUAACCCCUGCCCUUUAGUUAUGAAAUUUUCAAUGUCAAGUAACUGGAAAUGCUGACCCAACUGAACUAAACGAAAAGGAAAAUUGGAAAGGAUUUUCUGGCCCCUAGGGUCAGUUCAGCUGCUCAACGGCAUCAUCAAGACCCAGGUUCUUUCCACAUUUCUUCUACCAACUCAAGCAUGUAGGCUAAGAACCACUCUUAGGUCAUAAGGCAGCUACGACAGUUCCAAGAAGCACAUCUAGGCACAAUUAUAUCUAGGGAAUAAUUACCUGUCUUUCUUUUAAUCAGCAAAGAAAACACUUCUAUGCUCCCAGCAAGACUCACCUGGCCAUGCCUAAGUCAACACCCUCAAGAGGCAGUAGAUGAGUGAACAUGUAAGUGCUGUCAGCCUCCAGGGAUGGAUAAGGCUUGCUUCCUCUGACUGCAUGUCUGCCUGGAAAAUGGGAGGACAGUGAGUUUUAGGCGGACAACCAAAAUUGUUAUCUACAAGAAGUUUACAGACAUGGAGGUUCACAAACAAGAAGCUCAUACCCAGUCUUGACAUAUAAAAAGAGGUGGGAAUAAGUGUUAUUAUCAUGAUGAAAUCAACGUGCUGCUGCGAGGGAGACUAAUUCAGGCCAAGGUCCAGGUGACAUCUGAGCUGCAGAUUUCAUAUUAAAGGUGACAUCUUAGUUGCGCCUUAAUUUAAAAAGAAUAUGAUUUUGACUGCUGGAUAAAGGGGAAAAGACCGGGGAAGGCAAAUAGAUGACCACAUUGCUCAUGGAGAAAGUGAUUCUUUUCAAGUGACUCAUUCAAAAUGGCUGCUGCAUAGCACAUGAUGAGAAAUGCCUGUGACAGAUGAGGCAGAAGAAAUGACCUCUUUAGCAUGAUGGUUACUUGAACUCAGGAGAACCAGGAACACCUUUGUUUGGUGGUGAACUUCAUCUUGAAAUCUUUGGCCUUAGCAGCCUACAGAUGCUGAGUGAUUGUUAAAUGGACAAGUGUAUUUGCAGGGAAAUUCAAUUCCUGUUUUAAAAUUACUUAUUCCUCCCAUCUGACAAGGGAUUCAUAACCAGAAUAUACAAGGAGCUCAAACAACUCUAUAGGGAAAAAAAUCUAAGAAUCUGAUCAAAAUGGGCAAAAGUUCUGGAUAGACAUUUCUUAAAAGAAGACAUACAAGUGGCCUAUGAAGAGGUUCUCAACAUCGUGUAUCACUAGAGAAAUGCAAAUAUAAACUGCAAUGAAAUAUCAUCUCAUUCUGGUUAAAAUGGCCUGUAUCCAAAAGACACGCAAUAGCAAAUGCUGGUGAGGAUGUGGAGAAAAGGGAUCACGUGUACACUGUGGGAAUGUAAAUUAGUACAACCACCAUGAAGAUCAGUUUGUAGGUUCCUCAAAAAAACUAAAAAUUGAGCUACCAUAUGAUCCAGCAAUCCCACUGUGGGGCAUAUACUCGAAAGAAAGGAAAUCAGUGAGUCAAAGAGAUAUCUGCACUUCUACGUUGCAACACUGUUUAUAAUAACUAAGAUUUAGAAGCAAUGUAAGUGUUCAUCAACCAAUGAAUGGGUAAAGAAAAUGUGGUACAGAUACACAGUGGAGUACUAUUCAGCCAUAAAAAAGGAGAUCCUGUCAUUUGCAACAACAUGGGUGGAACUGGAGAUCAUUACAUUAAGCAAAAUAAACCUGGAACAGAAAGACAAACAUCACAUGUUCUCACCUAUUUGUGGGAUCUAAAAAUCAAAACAAUUGAACUCAUGGACAUAGAGAGUGGAAGGAUGGUUACCAGAGGCUGGGAAGGGUGGUGGGGGGCUGGAGGGGAGGCAGGGAUGGUUAAUGGGUACAAAAAAAUAGAAAGAAUAAAUAAGACUUACUAUUUGAUAGCACAACACAGUGACUAUUAAAUAGUAGCUUAAUUGCACAUUUUAAAAUAAAGAGUGUAAUUGGAUUGUUUAUAACUCAAAGGAUAAACGCUUGAGGGGAUAGAUACCUCAUUCUCCAUGAUGUGCUCAUUUCACAUUGCAUGCAUGUAUCAAAACAUCUCAUGUGUGCCAUAAAUACAUCUACGAUGUACCCACAAAAAU
rnacentral:lncRNA from 1 species